CCACAACUCAAAAUCACA
rnacentral:snRNA from 1 species